rnacentral:rRNA from 1 species
GGCAGCAGCCGCGGUAACACCGGCAGCUCUAGUGGUAGCAAUUUUAUUGGGCCUAAAGCGUCCGUAGCCGGUUUAAUAAGUCUCUGGUGAAAUCCUGCAGCUUAACUGUGGGAAUUGCUGGAGAUACUAUUAGACUUGAGACCGGGAGAGGUUAGAGGUACUCCCAGGGUAGAGGUGAAAUUCUGUAAUCCUGGGAGGACCGCCUGUUGCGAAGGCGUCUAACUGGAACGGUUCUGACGGUGAGGGACGAAAGUUAGGGGCGCGAACCGGAUUAGAUACCCGGGUAGUCCUAACUGUAAACGAUGCGGACUUGGUGUUGGGGUGGCUUUGAGCUGCUUCAGUGCCGAAGGGAAGCUGUUAAGUCCGCCGCCUGGGAAGUACGGUCGCAAGACUGAAACUUAAGGAAUUGGCGGGGGAGCACCACAACGCGUGGAGCCUGCCGGUUUAAUUGGAUUCAACGCCGGACAUCUCACCAGAGGCGACAGCUGUAUGAUAGCCAGGUUGAUGACUUUGCUUGACUAGCUGAGUGGUGGUGCAUGG